rnacentral:rRNA from 1 species
UACGUAGGGUGCAAGCGUUAAUCGGAAUUACUGGGCGUAAAGCGUGCGCAGGCGGCUUUGCAAGACAGAUGUGAAAUCCCCGGGCUCAACCUGGGAACUGCAUUUGUGACUGCAAGGCUAGAGUACGGUAGAGGGGGAUGGAAUUCCGCGUGUAGCAGUGAAAUGCGUAGAUAUGCGGAGGAACACCGAUGGCGAAGGCGGUGGUCUGGGCCGGCACUGACGCUGAGGAGCGAAAGCGUGGGGAGCGAACAGG